AUGCUCACUUCAGUUGCACACCUGCUGAAACUGGAAUAAGACAGAUAAGACUAGCAGGCUCCUGUCCAAAGAUGACAUGUAGAUCUGUGACACAUUUUUAUUUUUU
ensembl:snRNA U6 U6 spliceosomal RNA